rnacentral:tRNA from 1 species
GCCUUCGAGGUGCAAUGGUCAACUCACUCAGCUCGUAUUCGAGAGGUUCAGGUUCGGGUCCCGGCGAGGGCA